ensembl:lncRNA
GUCGCUGUAUAACUUUAAUCAUUAAGAAUGAGCAAAGUUAAAAUAAAUACAUGGCAAAUACAUUUGUAUUCAGUCAUACAACAGAAUCAACAAUAAAGUGAACACUUGCAAGAUUCUUGCUGACAAUCAAGACAAUAGAGUUAAUCUAAUGUCUAUGGAGGCCAAAACCAGAGGUGAGAUUUCAGUGGAGUGGGUGGGACAGGUCAACAAGAAGUUGAUUCAACAGUCUGUAUGGGAAAAAACAAACAGACAAACCAAAAAAAAACAAAAAACAAUGAGAUGUUUCUAACUAGUGGAAGUUCUAUAAUUAUUGCUGCUCAACUAUAAUAUAAUUUUAUCUGAAUGAGCAGUAAAAAAAAAUGACUAUCCAUAAGGCCACUAUUUGCAUCAGCUGUAUGAUUAAGUGUUAUAUAUAUAUAUAUAUAUAUAUAUAUAUAUAUAUAUAUAUAUAAAAAAAGACAGUGGGACGGUUGUAAAAUAAAUUAAUCUCAACGGUUUGGUGUUGACAUGUUGUACCUGCCGUUAUCAGAUGUGUCCGUUUUCCAUUCAAGAAUAGCCAGUAAUAACUACCACAAAAGACUUUUUAGUACAGAGAACACACCAUCGGUGUGUUUUAUAGCUAGUCACUGUAACAGACACAAAAAAACGGACAUUUACACGGUUCCUUUCCUUUCACAGAGAAUACAAAAGGCUUGUCAACACUUCAGAAUUAUAUACAGAACAAAGCAUCUCUGAGCAUGAAAACAAUCAUCAGAUUCACUUAGGGAAUAUUUAGAACAGUCCAACACUGGACAUGAAUUGGAGGAAAUACCUAAAUCUAUUACACGCUAACAUAGCCUUGGUUAUUACCAGGGAGUCAUGGAGACAUGGCACUGUCACUUUAAAUGCUCAGACCAGAAGCAGUCUCAGUGACAGACUGUUUGCCAGCUACUUUAUAGCCCAGGCUUCUCUCUGGCCUAUUUUCAGCCCUCCUCAUUGCACAACUGUGGGACAUUACAUAAAAUCCCUGCUAGUCAAACAGAAUCAAACUCGUAAAAGUUGCCAAGUUUGAUAUGGUAAUUUCAUUAAAUAGUUCUGUAGCUAUCCUGCUGAUGUAGUUGGAUAUUUCA